GCCCUUGUAGCCCAAUUGGUAGAGGCAGCGGACUUAAAAUCCGUCGAGUGUGGGUUCGAGCCCCACCGAGGGCACGA
rnacentral:tRNA from 1 species